rnacentral:lncRNA from 1 species
UCCGUUGUAAAGAUUUAGGUAUUACAAACGCUAACAAAGCUAGGAUUUUAAAUAUAAAAAAAUAAAUUCAUUAACUAAUCAAAGGGUGGUGUUAUUUAUAGUAUAUAGUAGCUCCGCCACUAAACACUAAUAGCUAGAAUAUGUACAAUUUUUCUUGCUAAAAUUCCAUAGUGGUGAAAACCGUUAUUACAUUCUCUACUAAUUAUAACAGCAACCUACUAGCUACGUACGACUCCUAAACUACGACGUACUAACUACACCAACCGAGAAAGCAGUGGUUUCUGCAUUCCUCCGCCGUCUACAACCGUCCCACAACCUAACGACGCUGCCGUCAAUAACCCUCAUGUCCUGGUAAGAGUACCACUCCAUUUCUCCUUUCCUCAUUUUCACCGCACUCUCCCAAUUCUCAAACAGCUCCUUACUCAACUCUACGCCGCCGUCUUCUCCUUCCUCAUUACCGUUACCGUCAUAUUCUCCACCGGCAAUAUCUUGCUUAAAAUACACCGUUAGUUUCCUUUUUUUUCCUUCUUCUUUGGUCAAAGCAACAACAUGAAACAUAAUAGUAGUAGCUGUUGAUAUUGUUGCCUGCUGAUCAGUUGACUCCCUUUCUACCUGUGAUGACGGUGAAGACAUAGACGACGUUACCAAAGUUGGCGUCGGCGGGGGUGGAGAUGGGGCAUGGCCGGAAAAGUCUGCACGUGGCUCCGGUGCAGGUAACGUCGAACAUGUUUUGAUUCUCCAGAAGCUAAUGGCGGCCGUGAGAACCGCGACCCAUGUCCAGACAUUGUUGACGAUAGUAAUGAAACCGAAGCUCAAGUAACUGAAAGCAAGAGCUUCAAGCGGAGAUUCCAAUGCAUUCAUGUCUUGAUCAAUUUUCUUUGAAACUUUUCCUGAUCAGUUUUCCUUUUCCUUUUCUCUUAGGUAAGUGGAGUACUUUAAUGUAGGGAAUAUAUGGGAGUGGGGUGACAAAUGUGAGCCGUCGGAUACAAGAGGAAGAAGGAAAUCAGAGAAGCAUAUGAGAUUAGAUGCUAGGAAUCGUGAGCGAAGAUGCCAAGGCAGAUCCAAAUUCCAAUUACAUGGU